UGGGGAAUAUUGCGCAAUGGGGGGAACCCUGACGCAGCCAUGCCGCGUGAAUGAAGAAGGCCUUCGGGUUGUAAAGUUCUUUCGGUAUUGAGGAAGGUUGAUGUGUUAAUAGCACAUCAAAUUGACGUUAAAUACAGAAGAAGCACCGGCUAACUCCGUGCCAGCAGCCGCGGUAAUACGGAGGGUGCGAGCGUUAAUCGGACUAACUGGGCGUAAAGGGCACGCAGGCGGUUAUUUAAGUGAGGUGUGAAAGCCCCGGGCUUAACCUGGGAAUUGCAUUUCAGACUGGGUAACUAGAGUACUUUAGGGAGGGGUAGAAUUCCACGUGUAGCGGUGAAAUGCGUAGAGAUGUGGAGGAAUACCGAAGGCGAAGGCAGCCCCUUGGGAAUGUACUGACGCUCAUGUGCGAAAGCGUGGGGAGCAAACAGGAUUAGAUACCCUGGUAGUCCACGCUGUAAACGCUGUCGAUUUGGGGGUUGGGGUUUAACUCUGGCGCCCGUAGCUAACGUGAUAAAUCGACCGCCUGGGGAGUACGGCCGCAAGGUUA
rnacentral:rRNA from 1 species